UACGAAGGGGGCUAGCGUUGCUCGGAAUGACUGGGCGUAAAGGGCGCGUAGGCGGCUUGCACCGUCAGAUGUGAAAUUCCUGGGCUUAACCUGGGGGCUGCAUUUGAUAUGUGUGGGCUUGAGUGCGGAAGAGGGUCGUGGAAUUCCCAGUGUAGAGGUGAAAUUCGUAGAUAUUGGGAAGAACACCGGUGGCGAAGGCGGCGACCUGGUCCGUGACUGACGCUGAGGCGCGAAAGCGUGGGGAGCAAACAGG
rnacentral:rRNA from 1 species